UUUGAGCCACAUCGCACUGCUUGCUAAAGGGUUUGUAAAACAAAUGCAUGGUGUUGGUAGUCAAGGCUCUUCAGAUUCGCGAGCUGCAUGAGCUGAUGUGCUGCCACUACACAGUGCUCACACUUGUGUGUGGCUUGGCUGAGUUCUUCUGCAGUGGAAGGCCCCUUUGCAGCUGGUAUCCGCUCCCCUUUGUCGCUCUCUCACAGCAUGUUCGUUCUGGUCAGAUUUGGCAGAGACGCGAAAUUACAGGUUGCGGGACACAGGAGCACAAAACCAGUAAAUCAUUGAUGUGGAGCGGGUUUGGUAAAGGAAGGGUGCACCUUGCGUGUCCCUCUCUGGAGUUUCCUCCUUUUCCACGCCACCAUACUAUUCACUGUGGCUGGUCAGACGAACGACUUGUACUGUUUUCUAUAUGCGAGCUUAGAGCUGUAGGUGCGCCAUGGCCCUUGUCGGAUUCAACCCCACAAUGCCUCCAAGGCAGGUCGGGAGCCUGUACAAGUACCAAUAACGUUUUCCAUACCUUCACCCAGG
rnacentral:lncRNA from 1 species